UCCCAGAUGGCUCUGUUGUGCCCUGCAUCAGCCCCCGGAAAGCCUGUAUCAUCGGACAAGAGACCUUUCAGCUGGAGAAGUCAGUAACCGUUCAAGCUUGGCCCAGAUCCUUAGGAGGCUUCAGAUGUGAAUUUGCAAAAAACAACCAACCCGACAACUUGCCCAAAAUUCCUCCCAGGAAGAUCUCUCAUCUUCUGAACCUUUGGGAGGGAACAAGUGAUUUAGGAUCUGAAGGACACCUAAUUCGAUGCUGUC